rnacentral:rRNA from 1 species
GACGAACGCUGGCGGCGUGCUUAACACAUGCAAGUCGAACGGAAAGGCCCUGCUUUUGUGGGGUGCUCGAGUGGCGAACGGGUGAGUAACACGUGAGUAACCUGCCCUUGACUUUGGGAUAACUUCAGGAAACUGGGGCUAAUACCGGAUAGGAGCUCCUGCUGCAUGGUGGGGGUUGGAAAGUUUCGGCGGUUGGGGAUGGACUCGCGGCUUAUCAGCUUGUUGGUGGGGUAGUGGCUUACCAAGGCUUUGACGGGUAGCCGGCCUGAGAGGGUGACCGGCCACAUUGGGACUGAGAUACGGCCCAGACGCCUACGGGAGGCAGCAGUGGGGAAUAUUGCACAAUGGGCGGAAGCCUGAUGCAGCAACGCCGCGUGCGGGAUGACGGCCUUCGGGUUGGAAACCGCUUUCGCCUGUGACGAAGCGUGAGUGACGGUAAUGGGUAAAGAAGCACCGGCUAACUACGUG